GUCGUGGUGGCGGAGUGGUUAACGCGACAGACUCGAAAUCUGUUUCUUUCGGGAGCAUAGGUUCGAAUCCUAUCCACGACG
rfam:Ophiostoma piceae TAMH 11346 chromosome Tnknown scf22, whole genome shotgun sequence.